GAGAAAGCUCACUUGAGUAGGAAUUCCUGCUGGAGACCGUCACAAGAUCCCUCCACCAGCUGGAUCCAGGUGAACCUCGGUCACGUGAGAAAGGUGACUGGGAUUGUCACCCAGGGCUGUCCUCACACUGACCCAAGGUCCUGGGUCAUCGAUUUUGAGAUGAAGACGAGUGUUGAUGGCAAAAGCUGGACUGAACACCCGGACGAAAAGAUUAGCGGAGGGGGGGAGCACCGGUUUGGCUCGCCAUUGUCCGCUCAGUACGUCCGCAUCCUGCCGCUGGAGGACGGCGUU